AUAGCAUUAUUUUGUGACCUGUCUCUAACACACCAAGAUGAGACUGGUCCUAAUUUUUCCUCUGCGAAUAUGGUUUUCUGAUUAACUACUAGUUAUGUCUAUGCCAAAAAAAGAAACAUGCUCAGACCACGGUUUUUGCCUCCAGAUGACCGAACUGUACGUGAAGCUCUAGGGAGAAGACAAUGAAAAACUGUGUAACAGGUGAGAGCUCUGCAUCAAAAGUCAGUGCUAAUGUUGACAGCAGGAUUGAAAUGGACUCAAACAAAGGACUUUUUAUUCCCUUCCCCAACCGGGAAAUAAAGGAUUCCCUAAGUACUUCUGCAACUCAGGGCAAUGGUACACGUGAUCAGAAAUUAGACACCUUCCCACUGGGGACACAGAUCUGUAUGCCACAACCCAUUUCAACAGUGACCCUGCUGUACUUGUCAAUGUAGAGCAACAAUUAUCUACCAGCCUGGAUGAUUUAACACCAGCACAUGGUUCUGUCCCAAACAACGCUGUCCUGGGAAACAGGACAACUCCUCUGCGGACACUGCUGUUGUCUCCUGGGACUUCAGAACACAGAAAGAUUUUUACCAAGAGGUCACUAAGCCCAUCGAAGAGAGGAUUCAAAUGGAAGGACAAUAUCCUUGCCAACCUGAAUCUAAAGCAUGGUUUCCAAGAUGCUACAGGCAGCGAGGCAAGUGUUGGCUUGUUUGUGUUUGUGCGAGAAACAGGUCAGGUUCGAGACCAGAAUGAGGGUUCUGUUGGGAAUGGAGGUGGUUCUGACCAACAGGGCUAGAAAUUCAAAGAGAUUUUCAGAGGCUGGUGGCUAAUACUGCCAAGCUAACACCUGUUGAGCCUUCUGCCCUUGGGAAAGUCAUUCCCCCACUGCUGCCAUUUUCUCACCUAUAUCACAGGGAGAACUGUCCCUGAUCUACUUCCGGCUGAAGAUUGAACUCUGUAGCAUCUAUGUUUACAGUCUCAUCAUAUUUACACAUUUGCUUCGGCCACACAUGAAAUAGUUCUUAUAAAAGCAUUGCUUCAGGCUGGGCACAGUGGCGCAUGCCUGUAAUCCCAGCACUUUGGGAGGCUGAGUGGGUGGAUCACCUCAGGUCAGGAGUUCAAGACCAGCCAGGCCAACAUGGCGAAACCCCAUCUCUACUGAAAAUACAAAAAUUAGCUGGGUGUGGUGGCGCACGCCUGUAGUGCCAGCUACUCUACUCGGGAGGCUGAGGCAGGAGACUCACUUGAACCCAGGAGGUGGAGGUUGCAGUGAGCCGAGAUCACGCCACUGCACUCCAGCCUGGGUGACAGAGUGACUCAGUUUCGUAAAAAAUAAUAGUAAUAAAAGCAUUGCUUUGCUUUUCUGUCUAGAAGUUAAAAGGAUUUAAAAUUUUUUUCCAAUGUAGAAGCAAACAGAAGAUGAAUUAGAUUAUCCAAGGGAUUUUUAGUUCAGAGAAUGAUUUAAAAAUCAAGAACCAUUCCCACAUAAACAAUAUACAUGUAAUUCAUUUUAUAAAAUAUCCUAGUGGCCAGGCACGGUGGCUUACAUCUGUA
rnacentral:lncRNA from 10 species